rnacentral:miRNA from 12 species
GGGCCUGAAUCCUUGCUCAGCCU